UAAUUAAUUCAUUAAGAAAUUAUUAAGUUAUANGCAAAUUACCUUUUCUA
rnacentral:tRNA from 1 species